rnacentral:rRNA from 1 species
ACCACGAAAGUUUGUUGUACCCGAAGUCGGUGCCUUAACCUCGCAAGAGGAGAGAGCCGCCCAAGGUAUGGCCGAUGAUUGGGGUGAAGUCGUAACAAGGUAGCCGUAGGGAACCUGCGGCUGGAUCACCUCCUUUCUAGGAGAGAAGGGUCCUGGAUGAAGCGCUCCUAUUUAGUCUUGUGAAGGAUCCGAGUGGAAGCCGGGACCGGAGAGAUACCGGGCCUGUAGCUCAGAUGGUGAGAGCGCACGCCUGAUAAGCGUGAGGUCGAUAGUUCGAAUCUAUCCAGGCCCACCAUCUGCGGGGAUGUAGCUCAGUUGGGAGAGCGCCUGCUUUGCAAGCAGG